UGAUAGCUAUGUGGGAUCACACUAACUUUUUUUGAAACCAUCUGCAAGCACUUCAAUUGCAGGAUAUAUGAUCACCUAUGGAAUCAAUUUGAGUUAAUUUGAAAUAAGUAUAUGGUUGGCUAUAAUAUGGAAGGUUUAAAAAGUUCAAAUCCACAAAGCAUAAAGUAUAAAUAUGGAAUCUGGAAGUACUGAAAAAGCAUUGUAUUGAAUGUGAAUACAAUGUAGAGAAAAAAUAUUCUAAAACUGAUAUUUUUGCUCGUGGUCUACCAUUUCAUAAAUUUAUUUAUGGUCCAUUAUAUCAAGAACUUAAGAUACGAUCAUAGUAUUAAUAGACCACCGAUGUUGAUUCAAAGAUAAAAAUAUAUUUUUCU